rnacentral:rRNA from 1 species
AAUCAACGCUGGCGGCGUGCCUAACACAUGCAAGUCGAACGCGAGGACCUCGCAAGAGGUUAGUAGAGUGGCAAACGGGUGAGUAACACGUGGGUGACCUGCCUUAGAGUGGGGGAUAACGUCCCGAAAGGGACGCUAAUACCGCAUAACAUCCUGCCUUUGAAGAGGUGGAGAUCAAAGCUGGGGACCGCAAGGCCUAGCGCUUAAAGAGGGGCCCGCGUCUGAUUAGCAGGUUGGUGGGGUAAUGGCUCACCAAGGCAACGAUCAGUAUCCGGCCUGAGAGGGCGGACGGACACACUGGGACUGAGACACGGCCCAGACUCCUACGGGAGGCAGCAGUGGGGAAUUGUUCGCAAUGGGCGCAAGCCUGACGACGCAACGCCGCGUGGAGGAUGAAGACCUUC